GCUCCUUCCUCCCCACCGUAACAGCCGACGCGGAUUCAUUGCCGCCGUCGCCGGGUUGUUACGACCUCCCCUCCCUAACCAAAGGCCUAGGUAUAAAAACCGAGGCCCUGCAACUCUUCCCCCCUCUAUUUCCCUCUCCGUAGCCACCUCAUCGCCCCACCAGUUCUCCAUCCGUCGCCGUAAGAUAGGAGAGAGAGGAAGAGAGUAGUCGCGUCCCUCGAAUCGGGCAUUCGCCGGUGUGGAGAUCCAAUGAAAAGUGUGGGAAGGAGCCUUGGACACAGACGCACGUCUUCAUCGCAUAAUCGAGCUUCGAGGGUAACCGGAGCAAACAGAAUUGCUCACCAGUGUGGCAUCUCCAUUGCGGAUCCGCCCUUUGUCGUGGCCGAAGCGCAUCACGACACGAAUCUAGGUACUAACACCCCCAUACCGUUUGCGUCGUUGUGUACUACGAGUAGGUGUUUUCAAUCUAGCGAAGAUGGCUCUGGCGCGACUGUCUGUGGGCUCGUGGGGGAGCCUCCGCCGUUGGCGGGUGCUGCAGUCACCGGCGGUCGUCGGGCGAUGGUGGGGAUGCGAUGGUCGUCAGAUUUUAAACAGGGAGCUAGAAUUAGAGGGGGAUACCGUUUCGUCCUGGGCUUGGUUGAGUCGUCCGAUCCUGAUCGGAGGGGGGGGGGGGGGGAAUUAGAUCAGCCUUCAUAAAUGUUGGGCCAUCCGAUCCGGAUCCCACGGUGGGUUCAACAUACCCCUUUCGUAAAAGCCACGACCUACCGUCCAGAGUUGAUCUAGCGACCCCUACGCAACGAUACCCCUUCGGCUAGUCAAUUUUGUUAGAGUCCCUCGAAAACAGAGAAAUCAACCCUCCGUCUGUUGUCAGUGCAAUUUAGUUGCAUUCAUGCCCCGGACAUUUAUACAACAACCCCUGAUCUUUAGGAUAUUAAUGCACACAACCCAGAGAAUAGAUAAAAUUGAAUAAAACAGUAUAUAAAAUGAUUUAGAGUAUAGAAAUAAUUCUAGAUCCUUGUUUAAUUCAUAGUUAAUUUAUUUUAACUCCUUUUUGGUUCAUUCCAGUUGCAUUAAUCUCAUAUUAAUAUUGUUUAUCAUCUAAUAACUUUAUUUUGUUAUGAGACAUAAAUUAAAAUUUUGCACUUAAUUUGUUCUAUAUCUAACACUUAAACCUUCGGAAAAAUAAUAACUUUAUAACCGUAACUCCAAAUUUAGUGGUUCUCAAACCUGCGAUCUCGUUACGACAUGUAGAACAUUAUUAUGCAGUUGUUAUUAUGUUUUGUGUGAUGUUAGUUUUGUCUAUACCAUGUUUGUUUGUAUUGCUAUGAGUAGCAACGAGGUUACGAGAAUCUGAAGACCAAGUUGGUACUUAGGAAUCUCGAGUCUCAGGCAAGUUAUGCCCUUGAUCACCUUUCUUUAUCAAAUAAUGUUCAUGUUAAUCAUUAUGACAUGCUCAGGUUAAUUUGAUGGGACCUAAUAGGUUUCCCUAGCAUUGUUAUCCCCCACCUUGCAAACAGAUGAACUAUUGGGUAAAUUUGCUAUUUCUCUACCUGGUUUUGGGAAAUUAAUGUUUUAUUAUGAUCAUGUUCCAAUUAUGUUGUUGUUUUAAUUACUGUUCAUGAUAAGAUCAUCAUGUUAAUUGGAACAUGGAGAACCACCCGGGAAAACAAUGCUACCACAAUGGUGGUAUGGGAUGCCCUUGACUGACUAAUUAGGAAAGCUAGUGAAAAACUACCUUACCCGAAAGGGGCAAGGGCGGUAGAUGAGCUACGUAUAGGGAGGUUCUCGGGUCAAUCAUGCUACGAUGGUUUUUCGGACGAGGGAUUCCUAUAUUGUCCUUCUCAGAAACCGUAGCGAAUUUUCUGAAGCUAGUGGAACUUUGUAAAGGCCUUGUAGUGGUACCCUACCUCAUCUCCUCAGCAAAGAUGAAUAGGUAGUCGUGAUCCCUUGGAAAAUGGGUAACACGAUUUGUGGGUAAAGAUGUGCAACCUCUGCAGAGUGUAAAACUGGUAUAUCAGCCGUGCUCACGGUCAUGAGCGGCUCAGACACUCACAUGAUUAAUUUAUGGAACUAACUUUAAUUUGUCAUAUGCAUUGCAUUGUGGGUGUUGUUAUUAAUCUUGAUCUCUUAUUUAAUUGGGUGGGUAUCUACUUAUACGUAGUAAUUGCUAAUAAAAUUUUGACCAACUCUAAAAGCAAUGCUCAGCUGUAACCAUCUCCUUUGGUAAGCCUCACACUUCACAUGAGCUCCCACCUUUGGUGUGUUUAUGCACAUUAUUCCCCAUAACUUGUUGAGCGAUGAACGUAUGUGAAAUCACCCUUGCUGUACUCACAUCCCCCCACCUAGGUUAGGAAUAGGUACUGCAGGAUGAGGCACAUGAAGGAUGCUAUGACGAGUUCGUGAGUGGUCUAGGCCAUCGUCUCCGAGCCAACUAUGGUUGCUGGAUUGUUGUCUUCAUAUGAUGUAAUUAUUUAAUUAUUUUGUACAGAACUCCAUUAUAUAUUAAAGAUGUGACAUUCGUUUAUGUACCAUGAGUCAUCAUAUGUGUGAGACUUGGUCCUAGCACAGUUGGUGAAUUUCGCGCCUAGGCUAGGUGUGACACUCUAUCUCAGAUGCGAGCAAGGAGCAUAAGCGCGAGCCUAGCCAUACAACUUCGGUAGGACAACUCACAACAUCACAUCUAGAAACCUCCAGGCCCAACUAGAAGAAGAGAGGAGGGAACAGAUGGACAUGGAGGCGAGGAUGAGGGCGGAGCCGGAAGCAGAGCGAGUGGCUCGCUUGGAGGAUCAACAGAGAAUGGUGGAGAUGUUCUAGUACAUGUAGAGCCUUGGCGCCGCACAAGGUUUUGCUCCACCACCUCUGUUGUUUCCUCCAGUUGACCCUGCUCAGUUCCAUACUCCUGACAACCAGCAGCAUCAAACAACCAUCAUGGAUCGCCAGCCCAUCGCCGAACCAGUCCAACCACCCACCUCGCUGAUGAUCUUAUGUUUGUUGGUGUUGGUAAUACUUUGUGAGAUAACUUGGUCUGAAUUUAUUGAUGUUGGUAAUAAUUUGUGAGAUACUUGAGACCUAUGUUUGUGAGUGUUGGAGACUUAUGUUUAUGAAACUUGUUUGAUAUGGUGAUAUUUGUGAGAUAUAUGGUGUUCGUGAUA